GGGCCCAUAGCUCAAUCGGUCAGAGCAGCGGACUCAUAAUCCGCGGGUUGAAGGUUCGAGUCCUUCUGGGCCCA
rnacentral:tRNA from 1 species